rnacentral:rRNA from 1 species
UGCUCAAUGAAUAUUAAAUAGCCGCAAUUUGUGCUAAGGUAGCAUAAUCAUUUGUCUUCUAAUUAAAGACUAGAAUAAAAGAUCUAACAUUUAAAUUUAUUUAUUUUUUUUAAAAAUCAAAAUUUUCCUAAAUGUAAAAAGACAUUUCUAAAAAAGAAAGACGACAAGACCCUAUUAAACUUAACUUAAGUUAAACUGGGGUAGUUUAUUAAUUAUUAUUUUAUAUAAAUAUAUAUCUAUAAUCAUCCAAUUUCAUUGAUUAAUUCAGUUACUAUAGGGAUAACAGCGCAAUUUUUAUUUAAAGAUCUUAUAUAAAUAAUAGAUUACGACCUCGAUGUUGAAUUAAUUACCUAACUAAAGCAAAUUUUAAAAAAGGAAGUCUGUUCGACUUUUAAUUAAUUACAUGAUUUGAGUUCAGACCGGCGCAAGCCAGGUCGGCUUCUAUCUUCUAAAUCAUUUCUUUACAGUACGAAAGGACCCAAAGAUUAUUUAUAAUUAUUUGGCAGAAAAAUGCAUUAGAAUUAGAAUCUAAUAAAACUAAA